GCAGCCGCGGUAAUUCCAGCUCCAAUAGCGUAUAUUAACGUUGUUGCAGUUAAAAAGCUCGUAGUUGAAGUGUGGGUGAUCGCUGUUGUGAGACUUCGGUCUCUCGACAGUAAGUCACCCCCUUCCAGUAUCCAGUAGUGGGUAUUCACUUACUUACUACUGUGUGUUGGUCGUUUACUGUGAGAAAAUUAGAGUGUUCAAAGCAGGCGUUUGCUUGAAUAGAUUAGCAUGGAAUAAUAAUUGAAGGCUUUCGUGUUCGAUUUGAUUGGUUUGUUCAUGGAAGCAAGGUUAAAAGGAACAGUUGGGGGUAUUCAUAUUCACUAGUUAGAGGUGAAAUUCUCGGAUUUAUGGAA
rnacentral:rRNA from 1 species